rnacentral:siRNA from 1 species
UGAUAAAUCAAGGUUCCUGCUCAU